rnacentral:rRNA from 1 species
AGGACGAACGCUGGCGGCGUGCUUAACACAUGCAAGUCGAGCGGAAAGGCCCUUCGGGGUACUCGAGCGGCGAACGGGUGAGUAACACGUGAGUAAUCUGCCCCUAGCUCUGGGAUAGCUCCGGGAAAACCGGGAUUAAUACCGGAUAUGACCACUUUAGACAUCUGCUGUGGUGGAAAGAAUUUCGGCUAGGGAUGAGCUCGCGGCCUAUCAGCUUGUUGGUGGGUAACGGCCUACCAAGGCGACGACGGGUA